AACUGAAGCCCACUGGAAAAGUGAGGAUAAUCUCUACAAUAAAGACACACCAGACCACUGUACUUGGGCCCAAGGAAACAGGGUGAAGAUGGUGCUGAGUAUUUGAAGGCCCAAGGUGGACCAGCUCCAUGAAGAUCGACAUGUGUAGGAGCCACCUUUUCACCUCACAUGAGGAAGAGACGUUCUAACCAUACAAGGUGUCCAAGGAACCCUUCUCUUUGGAAUCUGAUUGAAGCAAGAGCCCACAGGGAUUUAAUGAUCAUCUAUGCAAUGAUAUUCAUGGCAAGUCUCCAACCAAGUCCCCAAUUAAAAUCCAAACAAAAAGGGGAGGGGACACAACCAGGGACUGAGUUAAUAAAAGGAGUUAU
ensembl:lncRNA